rnacentral:rRNA from 1 species
CUACGGAACUCCUACGGGAGGCAGCAGUGGGGAAUUUUGCGCAAUGGGCGGAAGCCUGACGCAGCAACGCCGCGUGGGGGAUGACGGCCUUCGGGUUGUAAACCUCUUUCGCGAUCGACGAAGUCCAUGUUUCUGCAUGGGUGACGGUAGGUCGAGAAGAAGCACCGGCCAACUACGUGCCAGCAGCCGCGGUAAUACGUAGGGUGCGAGCGUUGUCCGGAAUUAUUGGGCGUAAAGAGCUCGUAGGCGGUGUGUCGCGUCGGCCGUGAAAACCUGGGGCUCAACUCUGGGCGUGCGGUCGAUACGGGCAUCACUUGAGUUCGGCAGGGGAGACUGGAAUUCCUGGUGUAGCGGUGAAAUGCGCAGAUAUCAGGAGGAACACCGGUGGCGAAGGCGGGUCUCUGGGCCGAUACUGACGCUGAGGAGCGAAAGCAUGGGUAGCGAACAGGAUUAGAUACCCCGGUAGUCCUCUUCGA